rnacentral:rRNA from 1 species
UACAGAGGGUGCAAGCGUUGCUCGGAAUUAUUGGGCGUAAAGGGUAGGUAGGUGGUCUCAUUUGUCGGGGGUGAAAGCCUUGGGCUUAACCCAAGAAGUGCCUUCGAAACGGUGAGACUAGAGUUCUGGAGAGGGUCGUGGAAUUCCCGGUGUAGCGGUGAAAUGCGUAGAGAUCGGGAGGAACACCGGCGGCGAAGGCGGGGGCCUGGACGGGUACUGACGCUGAGGCGCGAAAGCUAGGGGAGCGAACGGG